UACGUAGGGGGCUAGCGUUAUCCGGAAUUACUGGGCGUAAAGAGUGCGUAGGUGGUUUCUUAAGUCAGAGGUGAAAGGCUACGGCUCAACCGUAGUAAGCCUUUGAAACUGGGGAACUUGAGUGCAGGAGAGGAGAGUGGAAUUCCUAGUGUAGCGGUGAAAUGCGUAGAUAUUAGGAGGAACACCAGUUGCGAAGGCGGCUCUCUGGACUGUAACUGACACUGAGGCACGAAAGCGUGGGGAGCAAACAGG
rnacentral:rRNA from 2 species